rnacentral:lncRNA from 1 species
CAUGGACUCCAUCUCGGACUUCAUAGCCUCAAGCCAUUUCUGAGAGUCAGGCCUUUGCAUGGCCUCCAUAUAGGUGAUCGGAUCCUCAUCGUUCUCAUCAAGUUCAAUGGGGUCACCAUCCCAGAUCAGAAAAUCAUAGUAUCUAUCCGGCUGACGCGCUACUCUAUCGGAUCUCCUUAAUAGUGUCUCUACCAGUUUCAGAUUCGAUUCACC